UCCAAGGAAGGCAGCAGGCGCGUAAAUUGCCCAAUCCUGGUACAGGGAGGCAGUGACGAAAAAUAACAAUACGGGUUGCACUUAUGUGUACUCGUAAUUGGAAUGAGUACAGCUUAAAUCCUUUAACGAGGAUCAAUUGGAGGGCAAGUCUGGUGCCAGCAGCCGCGGUAAUUCCAGCUCCAAUAGCGUAUAUUAAAGUUGUUGUGGUUAAAAAGCUCGUAGUUGGAUCUCAGCCCACGUCCUGAUGGUCCACAAUGCGUGGUUACUGUCAGGCUGGGCACUCUACUGUUAUUGUCCUGUGGUGCUCUUCACCGAGUGUCACAGGCGGUCAGUACGUUUACUUUGAAAAAAUUAGAGUGCUCAAAGCAGGCAUUUCGCCUGAAUACUGUUGCAUGGAAUAAUGAAAUAGGACUUUGGUUCUAUUUUGUUGGUCUUCGGAACCAAGG
rnacentral:rRNA from 1 species